UCCAGGUAGGGCUUCCCUAUCCUGGGUAAGGCUGCUUGUGUGAACAGUCUCUACAUGUUUUGCAUAAAGGUCCCAGGUUAAACCUCUGACAUCUCCCAGAAGGGCUGGCAAGGAUCCUAUCUGAAACCUUGGAAAGUUGUUGCCAGUCUUGGUAGACGAUAUUGAGCUAGAUGAACCAGUGGUCUGAUUCAGUAUGAAGCAAGUUCAUAUGUAACUCCGCAAUUUAUUUCAACAAAAUCCUUAAGUAAACACUUAACUUAAAAAUUGAGGUACCUUUGUUUGCUGCAAUAGUACUGCUUUUUAGAAUACCUUUAACUUUGUCUUGGGAACUGUUCAUGUGGGAAGAUCUUAUUGAAAUGAGGCUGGAAUACUUAGCAUCUUGGGAUUUUAAACAUGCUAAGUCUAUGUAUACUCCUCUGUGUAAAAUUCCAGUUUCAAAAUCCAACUAUUACGAUCAAAUUAUUUGUGUUGGGCGGAGGUAAGAUAAGAUGCAUUUUGACUUAGAUGAUUAAUGUAUUUUCUGAGAAUGCUAUAGCAGAGAUGGAGAACAUUUGGCUGGAAGGAUAGCCAGAAUAAACUAGAUAAGUAGCAUUCUGCACACCACUUCAUCCUCUACAUCAUCCUCUAUAGAGGAUUAGCUAUGCUGAAUAAGCAUUAGAGCUUUAAUGACAACGGUUUGCUUUGUCUAAUGGCACAUUUCUUGGCUCUUCAUCAUGAAGCCAUUCGCCAGCUUUGUCCUUCUCAGCUUGCUUUUCACCAUCCAGAGUGAAGCCCUGCAAUGCUAUACAUGUGUUGGCACAAGUGAUGAGGAAUGUAACAGACAAGGAACUGAGCAAUGUCCUGGAUACUCUGAUGCCUGUGCAAUCAUAAAAGGACAGUCAAGUGGCAUUAUGAAGUCCUGUUCAUAUAGGUCAUUCUGUGAGCGUGCACGGAGGGAAGGUCCACGAGCACCUGGAGUGAGCGUUCACUGCUGUUACUCAAAUAACUGCAAUGCCAAAGGUUUGGGCUCAAGAAAUGUCCUCUCCACUGGCUACUUCUCACUGCUUAUCUCUGCAUUCUUGUGCCACCUGCUUUUUAAUCUGGAGUGAAAAUUGAACUGAGAAGGAGGUUGGAGUGGAAGCUGUUAAACCAGCACUACAAGACUAUCUUUGAAUCAAGAGAGGGGGAAAUAGAGCAAAUAUUUCUAUGGUUAUAUAAUCAAAAUAAGAGGAAGCCAGGGAUGCUGGGAGAAGAGAGGCAGACAAACACAUAAGUCAAUUCACUAUACAGUUUCAGAAAAAUGCUAGCAAUUGACAUACAACACUUUAGUGCCGAAACUUGAGAUCCUCUAGUAAUAAUCCUGAACUAUUUAAAAAAAACACAUGCUUGCAGAAUAACACUCUACAUUAAUUGGCAAAAAAGUAAGUAAGCAAUAUGUAAACAAGCAAUAUGUAGCAACCUUGUAACAUGGGGUGAAAAGCUCCACAGUUUAACAAUUGUAAGAGCCUCUGUAUUCCUGUAUAAUUAAUACUUUAAAGUAUUAUAGUCUAAUAAUCCUUCACAAGGAACUCCAUUGCAGGAACUCUUUUUAUCAUUAAUAGCUUAUUAGAUGGGAAAGAAGCAAGCAAAUGAACCAAAAGAUACAGAGCUGGAUUCUAAUUAUGUCUCUUUGUAUCCUUGUGACAUUGGAUGGCUGUCAGUAAAAACGGGAUCAUAGAAAAAGAGUUCAGCUUUAUCUAGGAUGAUCUCUGUGGUUUUAACGGCAAAGCAAGAUUAACUGUAAUGGCAUGGUUUCCGGUCAGCAGGCUUCUUAAUGACCAUCUUAAUCUUGUUGACCAGUAACUUUAUAGCAAGAGAAGAAUUAAUCCCAGGGUCUUAGUCAAAUUUUAGUUCAGCUAGGCAUUCUGCUCAUCCAGACUUCCUGUGCAUCAGGCAUACCCACAGAUGAAGAUAGCAGCUAAUGGAUGCUAUGAGGCACAGUGGUUAGAAUGUCACAUUAGGACUGGGGAGAACCAGCUACAAACCCCCACCGCCGCGUAGUCUACUGGGUAACUUUGGGUCAGUCACUAUGUCUUGGACUUACCUACCUCACAGGGUUGUUGUGAGGAUGAAGGUGGAAGAGAACCAUGUAUGCUGCUUUGAGCUUCUUGAAGGAAGGAUGGGACAAACAUUAAAUAAAUAAAUGUAGUUUUAAAGGGAUAAUUUCAUUUGGUACCCAAUCUUCAGUCCACUCUUUCAAAUAACUAAAAUGUGUCAUAGAAGCUAUUCUAUGUAACUCUGCCUUUAUUGGUUGGGGCUUACACAGUAACGAUGCUAAAUAUGGCAAAAUACAUGGAUAUUUCAGUCAAAAUCAAGUGUGUGCUAUAGCACCUGAGAAGCACUUCAUACAUCUCCACAGCAGGGCUGGUACUGGGUAGUGGAAGGGUGGCCAGAACCUCAAGGGUAUACUCGUGAGUCAAAUGGGCCGUAACCCAAAAUUUGGCUUUUAAAAAGCCAAAUCUGGCAACAGAGACAGGCCUGUGCUAGGCUAGCUUUCCUGGCAUGGGCACUGUCUGAGGGAAAGAGGAACUGGUGGUUUCCAUCUGCUGGCUUCCCUCCAUACCAUAGAGCUAACGAAGCUAACCAGAUGGCAGACAUGCCUCUCUUCCAGUGCCAACAUGAGAGCAACAACACUAAAGGAAAAGCAUGUUCCAGUUAGCCUUACCAGUACUGAUGCACAGAGAAAAUGGGGGAGUAGUGGAUAUGCCUUCUGGUCCCCCCGUCCUCUCCCCAGUGAUGCCCAGUGCUCAGAAAACUAACUGGACAGUGCAAAUCCCUCCUCCACCACAAGCUCCAGAAAGGAAGCUCCGAAGGAGAAGGGAAUCUGCUGCUUCUGCUGUGCCCACCCCCUCCAUGAAGUCUCCACAUUGUGCCCCAUUCCCUUGCCAAGGGAUGGUGGACAGCCCUUCGGGGCCAAGGGCCAUCUUGAUUUUCCAGAUGCCCUGUCUCCUGAUGCUGUAUCAGGGCCAGGAGGACAAAUGGAAAUCAAAAUGGCACAGCAAAAAAGGAGGAAAUUAGCUGCUGCUCACUCAACUUUGCCCCAAAAAAACUUGCCAGAAGGCUGGCCUGAAUGCAGAGGCUUUGCAUUGGUGGGCCCAGUGACCACAGCUGCUUCAAGGGUCAAGGAAGUGGUUUCUGAAUCACCACAGGCCAAGUCUGUGGCUGAUCUGACUGGCCACCUGCUGUGCCCAUAUUAAUAUGGUCAGUAUUAAUCCAGAUAAGAAAAAGCAUGUAUCCUGUACAGAAAAGUAGAACAACACACAUCAUAAAUUUGAUACAUGUCAUUUUUCCCAACGGAAGGAUUGAUCUAUGUUAAAAAGAAGGAAAUAACCCGGCAAGUUAAGAAUUAAAUCCAGAAAUCAAACAUAUUCUAGUAGGUAACAGAACAUCAUCAAGUCCCUCGCAAUGCUGUUCAUCCCACAUGUCAUUGAAAUCCAUUUGUAUUUACAAGUGGUGCUUUACUACUCCAUAUUCUGCUAGGGCACAGGGACAUAGCUCAGAUGCAGAGCACUUGCUUAUCAUGCAGUAGAUCUCCCAUCUGAUCCCUGUAUUUCUAGGCAGGGCUGGAAAAGACUGAGAUUUCUGCCUGAAAUCUGGAAAGCCUCUGCCAGUCAGGGUUGUUGUUGAUGACCUAGACAGACCAAUAGUCUGACUCAGUUCAAUAUGAUAUUUUCCUGAUCAAUAAACUAUUGAAAUAUGUCCCUAGUACGGAGCUAUUUCUCUCAGAGUUGAUAGUGAUAUAAUGAGGAAAAUAAGAGGGGAUCUAUCAGCUGAAUUCAAUCCGUUUUGAAACUAAGCAGAGCAUUUACACUGACUGCAUUGACAACAGAAUUGGGACCUAAAUGUGUUUGACAGUAUCGUGUAGUUACACAUUAAUGGCCAGCAUGGUUUCAUUCACUCUUCUGAUUUCUUGUUGUUGUUUUGUUUUAGCAGUCAUAGGUGCUUUUGACAUGUCAGGAAGCAGCAGAUGCUGCUUUGGAACAAUCAGUUAUGCCUUUUGUGCUUGGUGCAGAUUUUGCCAGCACACAUUUUGAUCAAUCUGGCUGUUAUUCUAAUGGAACCCGGUAGACAUGUGGGGCUGUAGUUCAGCCACAUAAUUCUAUGUGUGUCUCUGUGUCUGGUUUAUUUUAAGGAUCUCGAAGACAACAGUUAAAUGCUAUUUAGCAUGGCAAAGUUCACAUGACUAAAUUCAUUAUUGCUCUUGAAAAUGUUGCUCGUGUUCAUACAGGCAGGAAGUCUACCAUUUAAGGUGACAGCCACAUGCAGACCUUAUUUGGUCAAAAUUACCAACCUAGGUUGUGAUCCUGAACACAGCAACAUCCCCAAGUUAUUUUGUUUUCAUUUUGAAUGCUAGCAAACAGUGUGCAGGAUCAGAGCUCUGACUGGAUAUCUCCUGCAUCAGCACGUCACCCCAUAAGUAUUUAUCACUAUUGCUUCUAUUUGUUGACUCCUUUGGAAAUUGUGACAUUGACCUAAGUUUUUACAUUGUACUAAAUAGCAAAACAGUAUUUACGUUUUGGUAAAGCUCUGUAAAUGCACAUCCAGCUCUGUAAUAAGUCUAACUUUAUACCUAUAUUUAUUUGUUUGUUUGUUUUAUCUGACGGAAAUAAAACCACUCAAUAAAUGACAA